rnacentral:Y_RNA from 1 species
GGUUGGUCCAAGUACAGUGGCGCUUACAACUAAUUGAUCACAACUAGUUACAGAUUUCUUUGUUCCUUCUCCACCCCCACUGCUUCACUUGACCGGCCUUUA